CAACGAUAAAACCCGAGAAUAAAACUCUUUAUUGACAACCUAGUUAGCCACAAAAGCCAAUGUUUAAUAAGAAUUCCAAACAAAAUUAGCCAAAAUUUAUGGAAACAGUAAUACUGUAAUCAUUUAACUACUUGCAAGUUAUCUUUUCUUGAUUAUUAUUCUAAAUUUAAGGGAUGGCUUGAUGUCGUGUAAGAGCGAGCAAAUGCUUUGAUAUAUCUAAUACCAAAGACCGUGUAAAGAAGAAAAAAGUAGGAAAGUGGACCCUGGAAACAAGAUUAAGCUAAAACGUGGAUGGUAAUAAUAACCAAGAUAAAGAAUCUUGGUUAUUAUUCAGGAUUUCCUUAUUUACCACAGCUCGAUUUAGAUAAACGAGGCGGAUAAGUCGUGUAAAAUAUUCCAAAACGGAAAGCGGCCCGUGGACUCCGACACUUAAUGGAAAAGUGUCCGAGAAAACGUUCAAAUGAGAGAGACACAGGACACGAGAUUUCUACAACCCUGAAUAUUUUGUGAUGGUCCCACGUCACGUUUCAGCUGUACGUUCGGGCACAUCCGUCGCUCUUCGGGAGGCUUCGGUGGCGUCUGGGGCGCGUUGCCAUGGCGACCAGAUUUCACGCGCCCUAAUCACCUGCCGCUAGCAGAAACAAACAUUUAAACUAGGUAUUCUCUUGAU